GGCUAGGUAUUUGUUGGUAGAACAUGAGACUCUUAAUCUCAGGGUUGUGGGUUCGAGUCUUACGAUGGGUGAAACA